UACGGAGGAUGCGAGCGUUAUCCGGAUUUAUUGGGUUUAAAGGGUGCGCAGGCGGGAGAUUAAGUCGGCGGUAAAAUUUUGCAGCUCAACUGUAAAAGUGCCUUCGAAACUGGUUUCCUUGAGUGUAGAUGAAGUAGGCGGAAUUUGUGGUGUAGCGGUGAAAUGCAUAGAUAUCACGAGGAACUCCGAUUGCGCAGGCAGCUUACUAAACUACUACUGACGCUCAGGCACGAAGGCGUGGGGAGUCAAACAGGAUUAGAUACCCUCGUAGU
rnacentral:rRNA from 1 species